rnacentral:rRNA from 1 species
UACGUAGGGACCGAGCGUUGUCCGGAAUCAUUGGGCGUAAAGAGCGUGUAGGCGGCCAAUUAAGUCCUGCGUGAAAUCUCGGGGCUCAACCCCGAGCGGUCGUGGGAAACUGGUUGGCUAGAGUGCGGGAGAGGAGAGUGGAAUUCCUGGUGUAGCGGUGAAAUGCGCAGAUAUCAGGAAGAACACCCGUGGCGAGGGCGGCUCUCUGGAACGCAACUGACGCUGAGACGCGAAAGCGUGGGGAGCAAACAGG